GGGAGGCAGCAGUGAGGAGUAUUGGUCAAUGGACGAGAGUCUGAACCAGCCAAGUAGCGUGAAGGAUGACUGCCUAUGGGUUGUAAACUUCUUUUAUACGGGAAUAAGUGAGCCACGUGUGGCUUUUUGUAUGUACCGUAUGAAUAAGGAUCGGCUAACUCCGUGCCAGCAGCCGCGGUAAUACGGAGGAUCCGAGCGUUAUCCGGAUUUAUUGGGUUUAAAGGGAGCGUAGGCGGGUUGUUAAGUCAGUUGUGAAAGUUUGCGGCUCAACCGUAAAAUUGCAGUUGAUACUGGCGACCUUGAGUGCAACAGAGGUAGGCGGAAUUCGUGGUGUAGCGGUGAAAUGCUUAGAUAUCACGAAGAACUCCGAUUGCGAAGGCAGCUUACUGGAUUGU
rnacentral:rRNA from 1 species